rnacentral:rRNA from 1 species
UGGGGAAUAUUGGACAAUGGGCGCAAGCCUGAUCCAGCCAUGCCGCGUGGGUGAAGAAGGCCUUCGGGUUGUAAAGCCCUUUUGUUGGGGACGAAAUCGUACGGGUGAAUAUCCCGUGCGGAUGACGGUACCCAAAGAAUAAGCACCGGCUAACUUCGUGCCAGCAGCCGCGGUAAUACGAAGGGUGCAAGCGUUACUCGGAAUUACUGGGCGUAAAGCGUGCGUAGGCGGUUUGUUAAGUCCGUUGUGAAAGUCCUGGGCUCAACCUGGGAAUUGCAGUGGAUACUGGCGAGCUAGAGUGCGGUAGAGGAUGGUGGAAUUCCCGGUGUAGCGGUGAAAUGCGUAGAGAUCGGGAGGAACACCCGUGGCGAAGGCGGCCAUCUGGACCAGCACUGACGCUGAGGCACGAAAGCGUGGGGAGCAAACAGGAUUAGAUACCCUGGUAGUCCACGCCCUAAACGAUGCGAACUGGACGUUGGGUGGACUUAGCCACUCAGUGUCGAAGCUAACGCGUUAAGUUCGCCGCCUGGGGAGUACGGUCGCAAGACUGA